rnacentral:misc_RNA from 1 species
AAUGUUCCUUAAUGCAAAGGCAUUACAGGCCCAAGGCCAGAACAGAGGAUGUAGAUCCAAAUAUAAUUCUAACCCCAAUUACCCAGCUCCCAAAAAAACCAGGCCCAAAAGCCCAAAAAAUGAAACCCUUGGUGGCUUCCCAUGAUAUUGGUUUAGGAUUAAAAUGAAAUACUGCACUAGUCGAAAUGCUGUGGACUGCAAAUUCAUGGGAUUAAUCAACUGUUCUCAAAUAUCCUCAGAUAGCUUGUUAGCAAAAUUGUGAUAAAGAAAGUGUUAAAGAUGUUCUUAGUCUAUUAUUUAAUUUUGGGAGUGGCAUAUAUUUGGAGUUUAAUGGACUGCUGCUAGUUUGUGGUAGAGUUAAUACAUUUAGAAUAUGUUUUGAUUCUUUUAGUGCUCAUCCCAGGUACUCAAUUUGUGAAUUUUUAUUACAUACUAUAAGCUAAAACCAGAUAUUCCAUGAUAGUUGUAUAGUCCUGGGCAAAACAUUAUUCAAAGACACUGAAUUGCAUUUUUUUAGUUCUUUGCUAAUAGUUGUUUGUUCAAAAAAUGGCACGGGUUUGUAGUGUGGUAGUGAUGUAUUAAACUUCAGUUUAAUGUUCUGGAAGAUGUUAUCUAAAUUUCUCCUCUCUCUCUCUUUUUUCUUUUCUGUAAAUCGUGCUCUCUUUUCUUUUCCCUUUCUCUGUCACUCAGCUCACUCUAUAUUCGCUGAAGUGGGUAAAGGAGAAAGGGAGCAGAUAUGAAGCAGCAGAAGCGUGAUAUGGUGAAGAUGAAGAAAUGCCCCCACUUCUGAUAAUGGCUCAACAAAGCAAAGCUUACAAUGCCAACACUACUCUUAAUAUUAGCGCCGGUAUCAGUCUUCUUAACUCUACUAACACCCAGCACCAUCACCACCAAGUCAAGGCAAUGUUUCAUGACUUCCUCGGCAUGAAGCCGGCUAACACCGAUGCCCCUAAGAACGCUGAUGCGUCUCCCUCUGCUUCUAUCUCUGCUGGGGCUGCCUCUUCUGGUGGUGCCCGUGGUCCUCUUUCCACCGCCUCUGAUCUUGCCUCUGAAAGGCAGGCUGGAAAU